rnacentral:rRNA from 1 species
AGUUUGAUCCUGGCUCAGAUUGAACGCUGGCGGCAUGCCUUACACAUGCAAGUCGAACGGCAGCACGGGAGCAAUCCUGGUGGCGAGUGGCGAACGGGUGAGUAAUAUAUCGGAACGUGCCCAGUAAUGGGGGAUAGCCCGGCGAAAGCCGGAUUAAUACCGCAUACGACCUAUGGGUGAAAGCGGGGGAUCGCAAGACCUCGCGUUAUUGGAGCGGCCGAUAUCAGAUUAGCUUGUUGGUGGGGUAAAAGCCCACCAAGGCGACGAUCUGUAGCUGGUCUGAGAGGACGACCAGCCACACUGGGACUGAGACACGGCCCAGACUCCUACGGGAGGCAGCAGUGGGGAAUUUUGGACAAUGGGCGCAAGCCUGAUCCAGCCAUGCCGCGUGUGGGAAGAAGGCCUUCGGGUUGUAAACCACUUUUGUCAGGGAAGAAACGGUUCCUACUAAUAUUGGGAGCUAAUGACGGUACCUGAAGAAUAAGCACCGGCUAACUACGUGCCAGCAGCCGCGGUAAUACGUAGGGUGCAAGCGUUAAUCGGAAUUACUGGGCGUAAAGCGUGCGCAGGCGGCUUUGCAAGACAGAUGUGAAAUCCCCGGGCUCAACCUGGGAACUGCAUUUGUGACUGCAUGGCUAGAGUACGGUA